UACGUAGGGAGCAAGCGUUGUCCGGAAUCACUGGGCGUAAAGGGCGCGUAGGCGGCCGAUCAAGUCAGGGGUGAAAGCCUGUGGCUCAACCACAGAAUUGCCUUUGAUACUGUUUGGCUCGAGACCGGAAGAGGUUGGUGGAACUGCGAGUGUAGAGGUGAAAUUCGUAGAUAUUCGCAAGAACACCAGUGGCGAAGGCGGCCAACUGGUCCGGAUCUGACGCUGAGGCGCGAAAGCGUGGGGAGCAAACAGG
rnacentral:rRNA from 1 species